AUUGAACGCUGGCGGCAGGCCUAACACAUGCAAGUCGAACGAGUGGCGGACGGGUGAGUAAUGUCUGGGAAACUGCCUGACGGCGGGGGAUAACUACUGGAAACGGUAGCUAAUAACGCAUAGCCUCAGAUGUGCCCAGAUGGGCUUAGCUUGUUGGUGGGGUAACGGCUGACCAAGGCGAGGAUCCCUAGUUGGUCUGAGAGGAUGACCGGCAACACUGGGAUGGAGACACGUGCAGUAAUCCUACGGGAGGCAGAAGUGGGGAAUGUGGCAGAAUGGGUGCAGACCUGAUGCAGCCAUGCCGCGUGUAUGAAGAAGGCCUUGGGGUUGUAAAGUACUGUCGGCGGGGAGGCGGGACCCGCAGAAGAAGCACCGGCUAACUCCGUGCCAGCCGCCGCGGUAAUAC
rnacentral:rRNA from 1 species